rnacentral:rRNA from 1 species
CUUGGUCAUUUAGAGGAAGUAAAAGUCGUAACAAGGUUUCCGUAGGUGAACCUGCGGAAGGAUCAUUACUGAGCGUGAAGCCACGCGGGGCGCUUGUCCUGCGCGGCUGACCCUCCACCCGUGUGAACUGAUUUUGUUGCUUUGGCGGGCCGGGCUCGACCUACCGGCUCCGGCUGGGGAGUGCCCGCCAGAGAAGCCCCAACUCGUGCAGUUAGUGCAGUCUGAGAAAAAUUUAAUAAGUAAAACUUUCAACAACGGAUCUCUUGGCUCUGGCAUCGAUGAAGAACGCAGCGAAAUGCGAUAAGUAAUGUGAAUUGCAGAAUUUAGUGAAUCAUCGAAUCUUUGAACGCACAUUGCGCCCCCCGGUAUUCCGAGGGGCAUGCCUGUUCGAGCGUCAGAACAUCCUCUCAAGCCUGGCUUGGUCUUGGGGUGCGCCGGCUCGGCGUCCCCUAAACAUAGUGGCGGUACCGUUGUGCUCUCCGCGUAGUCACGUAUCUCGCGACAGAGUGGCGAUGGGACCUGCCAGAACACACAUAUAUUUUGGAUGACCUCGGAUCAGGUAGGGAUACCCGCUGAACUUAAGCAUAUCAAUAAGCGGAGGAAAAGAAACCAACAGGGAUUACCUCAGUAACGGCGAGUGAAGCGGUAACAGCUCAAAUUUGAAAAUCUGGCUCCUUUGGGGCCCGAGUUGUAAUUUGUAGAAGAUGCUUUGGGUGUGGGCCUGNNNUAAGUUCCUUGGANCAGGACGUCGUAGAGGGUGAGAAUCCCGUAUGCGGCUGGUGCCCGCGCCCGUGUAAAGCUCUUUCGACGAGUCGAGUUGUUUGGGAAUGCAGCUCUAAAUGGGUGGUAAAUUUCAUCUAAAGCUAAAUAUUGGCCAGAGACCGAUAGCGCACAAGUAGAGUGAUCGAAAGAUGAAAAGCACUUUGGAAAGAGAGUUAAACAGUACGUGAAAUUGUUGAAAGGGAAGCGCUGGCAACCAGACUUGGGCGCUGUUGAUCCGUUAGGGUUCUCCCUGGGGUACUCAGCAGCGCGCAGGCCAGCAUCGGUUUGGGGGGCUGGAGAAAGGCUGGUGGAAUGUGGCUGCCUUCGGGCAGUGUUAUAGCCACCGGUGGCAUGCAGCCUCCCCGGACCGAGGACCGCGCUUCGGCUAGGAUGCUGGCGUAAUGGUUGUCAGCGACCCGUCUUGAAACACGGACCAAGGAGUCUAACAUCUAUGCGAGUGUUUGGGUGUCAAACCCAUACGCGGAAUGAAAGUGAACGUAGGUGAGAACCCGCAAGGGUGCAUCAUCGACCGAUCCUGAUGUCUUCGGAUGGAUUUGAGUAAGAGCAUAGCUGUUGGGACCCGAAAGAUGGUGAACUAUGCCUGAAUAGGGUGAAGCCAGAGGAAACUCUGGUGGAGGCUCGCAGCGGUUCUGACGUGCAAAUCGAUCGUCAAAUUUGGGUAUAGGGGCGAAAGACUAAUCGAACCAUCUAGUAGCUGGUUCCUGCCGAAGUUUCCCUCAGGAUAGC